AACCUUAUUUUUCAUUUCCCGCGCAGUACAUGCAGUAUUUUUCACAACGUAGGCAAUAUAUUAUCACCGAAUUUGUCUUUGUCGGCGUUUGUUUCUUUUGAAUACCGUGCCACGUAGGCAUUCGCGACAAGAAAGUGCACUCAGACAGAGCUCACAGCGUUGCCACAGGAUCUCUCCGAGGCAACCGAAGUCCCAGCGUAACAGAAUCGUCAUCGCGAUACGAAAAUACAAUAGGAACAGCACUUCACCAAUCUUCUGUUCAAGGUCACUACACAGAUGCCUCAAACAAACAUAGGGAAUAUCACUGCCUGGGGGUUUUGUAAAUGCUGCGUUGACACCACAUGGUUUGAGUGAAUCCGAAAGGACCUGAAAGAUAUAUCGUAAACUCCGUGCGACCAUUAUAUCAAGUGGGAUAUUGAGCAUGACGCAUGCAUUCGAAUUAUUGGUUUUCGCCGUCACUGUCUUCGCGGCAAAUAACACAGCGCGAAAAUACUGCUUGAGGCCGAAAGCGCCUGGCAGCACAUGUGGCGGAGGCCCGUUUACAUCGUGGUAUUUCGAUUCCAACACCCGCGAAUGCAAAGCGUUCAUCUUCGGUGGAUGCAACGGGAACCUGAACAGGUUUUCUUCCGAGAGACAGUGUCAGCGAUGGUGCUUACCUGGAAUUCCAGAGAACCCGGUGUGUAGCUUGGAUCAAGUUCAAGGACACGGCAUAGGCCAGUUUUUCGCCUGGUCAUAUGACUCCAAAGCAGACUAUUGUCGUGUAUUUAUGUACAGUGGAUCGGGCGGCAAUUCUAACAACUUUGGAAGUUGUUUUGAGUGCAUGAACAGAUGCAGCGGAAAUGAACACGCUGCGCAAAUCUGCCGCAUUAUGAAUCAUAAUAUUAUGGCUUACUCCUACAAAGGACUUCAAUUCAGCUUUCCUGGAAUUAAAUGAACAGCUUGAGGUUGUAUUUCGGACAAAAGAGAUCUACAGAAAUUGGAGAGGUAUAUACAUUAAAGUAUGCCAUCAUCUAAUAAGGCCAAGUGCAGAAAUAUAUUCUAGUUUACGCAGAACA